rnacentral:misc_RNA from 1 species
AUUUAAAAUUAAAUUUGAAAUGUUUUAAUCUCAAAAACUCCAAAACAAAUAAACAACUUUGUUUGAUAGCAUCUAAAACAGUGCUUUUCCAGAAAAACACCUUUUUAGCCUCCUAACCUCAGCCCCAAACAGGGCCAUAGUGUCAUACUCAAAUCAAUACAAAUAAUAGCAAAGAGGACAAAUAACAGGGGAAAGAAAACUU